GGGCCCAGUCGCGUCGGGCCUCCCGAGGGGGCUGCGAGUGUCAGUCGGCUCUCCGCACGUGUCCGCGGCCUCGCGGAGCAGCACUGCAAGCUAUUUGGCAUAUGAAGGUCUUGACCUGAGAAAACCAUCUUGGAUAACUGCAGCAAGGAAAAGGAAAAAUGCAACACCUAGGAGAUUUCAGUAAACAGUAGAAUCAUGCCAACCUAAUCUGUGUUAAAAUGCUUGGAAUGUGGGAGCCGCUGAUGAUGCCUCUUGUCUGUGUGUCUGACUGAAUCCUUUCUUUUCUCAGAGCAGCAAAGCAAAGCCUGGGAACCAGGCCAAAUGCCUGCCACUUACCUUAAAUUGAUCAGCCACUUUGAGAUUAAAACCCCUGAAAGCUGCCACACCGUGAAAACAAGGCCUCCUUCACAUUAAAGGCAAAUUGCGACUUUG
rnacentral:ncRNA from 2 species